GACGUAGGGCGCGAGCGUUGUCCGGAAUUAUUGGGCGUAAAGAGCUCGUAGGCGGUCUGUCGCGUCGGCUGUGAAAACCCGGAGCUCAACUCCGGGCCUGCAGUCGAUACGGGCAGACUGGAGUUCGGCAGGGGAGACUGGAAUUCCUGGUGUAGCGGUGAAAUGCGCAGAUAUCAGGAGGAACACCGGUGGCGAAGGCGGCGCUCUGGACCGAGACUGACGCUGAGGCGAGAAAGCGUGGGGAGCAAACAGG
rnacentral:rRNA from 1 species